AUUGAACGCUGGCGGCAGGCUUAACACAUGCAAGUCGAGCGGAGAUGAGGUGCUUGCACCUUAUCUUAGCGGCGGACGGGUGAGUAAUGCUUAGGAAUCUGCCUAUUAGUGGGGGACAACAUUCCGAAAGGAAUGCUAAUACCGCAUACGUCCUACGGGAGAAAGCAGGGGAUCUUCGGACCUUGCGCUAAUAGAUGAGCCUAAGUCGGAUUAGCUAGUUGGUGGGGUAAAGGCCUACCAAGGCGACGAUCUGUAGCGGGUCUGAGAGGAUGAACCGCCGCACGGGGAAUGAGACACGGCCCAGACUCCUACGGGAGGCAGCAGUGGGGAAUAUUGGACAAUGGGGGGAACCCUGAUCCAGCCAUGCCGCGUGUGUGAAGAAGGCCUUAUGGUUGUAAAGCACUUUAAGCGAGGAGGAGGCUACUGAGACUAAUACUCUUGGAUAGUGGACGUUACUCGCAGAAUAAGCACCGGCUAACUCUGUGCCAGCCGCCGCCGUAAUAC
rnacentral:rRNA from 1 species